CAGUAUAGUUGUGGGUGUGGAAGACCCACCCUAGGGAUGUUGGUCACCAGAAUGGAAUAACAGCAAAACAAUGAAGGAAGGCUGCUACCUCACCUCCACCUCGGAAUGAGGAUUCACAGGAAAAUUCUCGCGAUUGAAAUGUACAGGUCACGUAUUAACCCUCCCCCAUCUUUACUGAAGAGAGUCUGGACGGCAGUCACAAAACGCAGGUCAUGUAUUUUAGGUGAUUCCUCAGUCCCUGUUUCAAUAACGAAGGCCAGAAAAGAUCAUCUUGUGAAAAGUCAGAAGUAGUGGAAUAAAAUGAUUCCACUGCAUCAGAAAAAAGUUAUCAAAUUCAAAACAGAAACUGCAAAGGAUUCAUUAAUUACAAAGUGUGACACAGGCAUGCAGCGGUGUACAGAGGCAGUAAGGAUUGUGGUCCCCCUUGCUCAGAUGGAGAGGCGCAGACAGCACCUGAUGCAGCAAACAGACCGACCGACAUCAAGAAGAGGAUGUGGAGUGGCAGGAUGAAAGGCAGCAGAAAAUUGCAUGAAAGUAAAUGCAAGAUCUCAAGUAGCCUCAUUGUCUGAGCUCAUUUAGCUUAAGGUCAC
rnacentral:lncRNA from 1 species